ACACGUGGGCAAUCUGCCCUUCACUCUGGGACAAGCCCUGGAAACGGGGUCUAAUACCGGAUAAUACUUUCUCCCGCAUGGGGGAAGGUUGAAAGCUCCGGCGGUGAAGGAUGAGCCCGCGGCCUAUCAGCUUGUUGGUGGGGUGAUGGCCUACCAAGGCGACGACGGGUAGCCGGCCUGAGAGGGCGACCGGCCACACUGGGACUGAGACACGGCCCAGACUCCUACGGGAGGCAGCAGUGGGGAAUAUUGCACAAUGGGCGAAAGCCUGAUGCAGCGACGCCGCGUGAGGGAUGACGGCCUUCGGGUUGUAAACCUCUUUCAGCAGGGAAGAAGCGAAAGUGACGGUACCUGCAGAAGAAGCGCCGGCUAACUACGUGCCAGCAGCCGCGGUAAUACGUAGGGCGCAAGCGUUGUCCGGAAUUAUUGGGCGUAAAGAGCUCGUAGGCGGCUUGUCACGUCGGAUGUGAAAGCCCGGGGCUUAACCCCGGGUCUGCAUUCGAUACGGGCAGGCUAGAGUG
rnacentral:rRNA from 1 species